GUUCUUCACUUAGCCGUCUGGGUAAAUAAAUAGGUUAAAUAGAUAGAUAGAUAGAUUGUUAAAAUACUGUAUAUAUAUAUAUAUAAUAUGACAUUUGUAAUGUCUUUACUGUUUUGAAACCUCUGUAUGUGUAAUGUUUACUGUUAAUUUUUGUUGUUUUUCACUUUAUAUUUUCACUUUGUAUGUUGUCUACCUCACUUGCUUUGGCAAUGUUAACACAUGUUUCCCAUGCCAAUAAAGCCCUUGAAUUGAAUUGAAUAGAUAGAUAGAUAGAUAGAUAGAUAGAUAGAUAGAUAGAUAGAUAGAUAGAUAGAUAGAUAGAUAGAUAGAUAGAUAGAUAGAUAGAUAGAUAGAUAGAUAGAUAGAUAGAUAGAUAAAUAGAUAGAUAAAUAGAUAGAUAAAUAGAUAGAUAAAUAGAUAGAUAAACUGAGGUAAAUGAGAAAACAAACGUCCUCUUGAUUGUGAUAUAACGUUGUGGUCUGAGAUGCAGCUAGCAGCAUAAAGAGGAAAAUAGUUCCUUCCUGUAUGCUUUAUCUGUUUAGGCCCUGUCCUAACGGGGACCCUUUUGGCCGUAACACAGGGCUAUUACACUGAUAAAUACCAAGGGGGAGGAGGAAGAUCCCCUGCAGAGGUUUUCACACCAACCAGACCAGUCAUGGGACACGUGCAAAUAUCUCCUGUCCUCUUUUCUUCUCUUCUGUCCUCUCAUCUUGCCUUUUCUGUCCAUCUAUCCCCUCUGUCCUCUCAUCUUGGCUUUUCUCUCCAUCUAUCCCCUCUGUCCUCUCAUCUUGCCUUUUCUCUCCAUCUAUCCUCUCAUCUUGCCUUUUCUCAAGUCUAUCCCCUCUGUCCUCUCAUAUUGGCUUUUCUCUCCAUCUAUCCCCUCUGUCCUCUCAUCUUGCCUUUUCUCUCCAUCUAUCCACUCUGUCCUCUCAUCUUGGCUUUUCUCUCCAUCUAUCCACUCUGUCCUCUCGUCUCUUUUCUUCUGUCAAUCUCAAUCCCUUUCCAUUUCUCUUAUAGUAAUAAUGUCCCAUCUUGUCCCAUAAAGUCAGGAGAUCGUUCUUGUUAAGUUGCAGGGUCAGUAAAUCCUCCUGUCCCGGAUGACGCUCCACAUGCAAGUACACAUAUUUUUUUCCUGACUGUGUGACCAGAACAGGAAAACAUCUAUGCCCUUAAGCGUAGAUGUUGAAUUAUAUUGUGACACAUUUAUUUUGGCUCUCCUUGUUAAUAAAGGAUAAAAAAAAAGGUGAUUUGCUGUUGAGCUCAAUCUGGAUUUGACAAACCCUUAACACUAGUCUAAUGUUGUCUAAUGGUCUUAAUCUGACCACAUUAGCAGAUACAUUUUUAUAACCUAUUUAAGAGUAAUUACUGAGAUUAACAAGUGUUACGCAUUAUUUCAUUUUAGCGGUUUGCGCCCAUUUUCUCAAAAGACACACAGAAUGAAAGAAAUAAAAAAAAAACUUUUCAAAAACAAGACCACUCUAAAGGACUUGGCUCUUUUGAAAUAUGUCUACAAAUCUCAUCAACUUCGAAAAUAAAUGCAUUAUUUUUCAAGUAACUUCCUUCACCUCUCUGUAGGCGAUUUUCCGUAUGAAAAUAAAACAUUUACUGGGUCAUCUUUCACUUUUCAAAGACUCGCCUUCAGAAUCCUGUGGUAGGCUACUAUAAUGAUUUCGUUUUGCUGUGGGUGUCCUGACAUAAGCACAUUUGGAAACGAUAUUGGCACCUGAAGUAUUUCAGGUUACAAGAAACAGCUGUUCUCAAGCGCCACCACGACCCUCCAUGUAAUUCUGUAACGCCGACAUAGAGACACACACAGGCAGGCCAGACCGAUGGCUUUUGAGUGUGUGUGGCUGUGGCACAGGCCGAAUAUAGAGGAUGGAAACCUCAACUACCACAUAUUAUGUUUGGGUGGUGGUGGGAGACGUGCAAUUCCAAAAUUCUCGACAGUGAUUUCUUUUUGUUGUUGCUUUACGCUCGUGCCAAUGCGUCAUCAGCACGAGAAGCAACAUCUCCCUAAUGUAUAGACCAACUCCAAGACAUGCAUUGAUUCUUAAAAGGCUAUUUUCAACAAUCAAAACUUUAAGAUAUAAUUUACAAGUUCAGAAAAGAAGAGAAGGCAAGUUGGGAAUGUCCAAAGUUUUUUUUUUUAAACGAGAGGCAUUCUUCAAUAGUCUAAAUAAGGUAUUGAAAUGCACAGUGCACUGAAGAUAUUUCAGAUGUUCUCCACUGAAGGCAAUAGCCUAUUAUCAAUCAAUUUAAAUAACGAAAGCCAGUGAAUUUGGCUAACAUUGAUAAUUUUGUUUACUCAAUGUAAACACUGCACGCACCGCCAUCGUCUAUUAGAUUGAACAUCCCAUUUCGACCAUCAUCCCCCAAGUGACACCAAUCUGACAAUACCUUUAAUAUACUCAACAUAACAUAUUACAUCACUGCUAAGUCCAAAUUGAACUUGCAUAUAAACAAACACACGUUAACCACUAUUAGGCCUAAAUUCAAAAAUCUCUUCUAUCAACGAUUUUAGCUUACUAGGAAUUAGAAACAGAAACUGAAUAGGAUAAAGCAAAGCAACUGUACCUUUUAUGAAAAGUUGAAGAAGUCUGCAUCAGUUUGUUGAUCUUGAUCCUCAGGGCUUUGGGACUUUUGGAAGCUCGGUGGCUGAAAACGAGACCGUCCCGCUGGGGGUUCCAGAAUGUCCAAUCUCUCUCUCUCUGCGUUCUUCUGGCACACAGAUGGGGCAGCCGGAAUUAACCUGUAUCUUCUAUAUUCUAUUCCACCUCCCGUGUUCAAACCACGUCUUUAUCCACUUUUUUUAGGAGCUUCUUUCCAUAGUCUUUCCAUAGUUACUUUAUUCACAAAUUUCACGAAAUCAGUGUGCAGGACAACAUUGAACGAACCCCAUUUUAUGUAACCAAAGUCCCGUAAACGCGAAGUUGGUUGCUCAGUCAAUGGGGGAACGCUAGACCUCUCUUCUCUUCCCCCCC
rnacentral:lncRNA from 1 species